GGGCACAUGGUGUAGUUGGUUAUCACAUCCGCUUAGCAUGCAUGCACUUGCGGGGGGUGCUGGGUUCAAUUCCCAGUGUGUCCA
rnacentral:tRNA from 1 species